AUUGGCGCAUUGAUAUUUAGUUGAAAUGACACCUAAUUAGCAGGCAGGUGUGCAAUCUGGGUGAAGUUCGUCAUGACAGGAGUUUGAUAGUGCUCUUGAAAUGUAGUUUAGCUAAUAUCACAAAGAGCAAAUAGUUUUUUUUUGGACACAACGUGUACAGCAGCGUUGUUGAGAGGAGGUGCAGCCGCACGUGAGGACCUCGGUUGGACGGAGAAAAUAAAGAGACAGGCUACAUACUGCGAAGCUAACAGCUCGGCUGCUAGCAUAAACUACGUCAAGCUACACCCGGUAAACCUCCCUCCUACAUUCACAGGCUGCUUCAGCCGCGCCACCACACCGCCACCGACGGCCUCGGGUUAUUUCGGACAUGACAAACCAAACUAAGUGUGUUUGCAGCGAGCCACGCUUCACACACGGAAGGCCCGUUUUGUUCUGCUGAUCCUCCAGAGAAACUUUACUCCCAGCUGCACUAAUGAGGGGAAGGAUAUUAAAGAUAUUAUCCUGAGACUGUCCACAGCGGCGCUAUGGCCUUCAGUUACUUUAAUGGUCCAAGAUGAGUAAACCUGAAUCUCAGCUUUUAAACAUCCCACCAGAAACCUCUGGGUGACAUCAGAUGCUACAUCAACAUUUUGCAGGACCCUUAUAAAAUCUUUCUACCUCCCUGUGCAUCCAUCCAUAGUGGGCCUGAGCCACAGAGCUCAAUGCAUUUAUGAGCUGCUUGUGCUUUUUUGGUUGUACAUUUUAUGUAGUAACCUGCAAAUAUCAGUCAGACUAGUAUGUAAAUUCAGAUUUUUUCUGAUUGGUGCACAUCAUUAAACAGUCUUUUACUACCCUGUUAAUGAAUAAAGCUGCUUCAGUAUCAAUACAGGAGCACGAUGAUUCAGGAUUGUACAGUUUCACACAU